rnacentral:misc_RNA from 1 species
GAUGAAGAACGCAGCGAAAUGCGAUAAGUAAUGUGAAUUGCAGAAUUCAGUGAAUUAUCGAAUCUUUGAACGCACAUUGCGCCCGCCAGUAUUCUGGCGAGCAUGCCUGUUCGAGCGUCAUUUCAACCAUCAAGCCCCAGGCUUGUGUUGGAGCCCUGCGGCUGCCGCAGCCUCCCAAAACCAGUGGCGGGCUCGCUAUCACACCGAGUGCAGUAGUUUACUCUUCGCUCAGGGCGUGUGGCGGGUGCUAGCCGUGAAACCCCCAACUUCUCAAGGUUGACCUCGGAUCAGGUAGGAAUACCCGCUGAACUUAAGCAUAUCAAUAAGCGGAGGA